GGGUUGUGAGGUUAAGCGACUAAGCGUACACGGUGGAUGCCCUGGCAGUCAGAGGCGAUGAAGGACGUGCUAAUCUGCGAUAAGCGUCGGUGAGGUGAUAUGAACCGUUAUAACCGGCGAUUUCCGAAUGGGGAAACCCAGUGUGUUUCGACACACUAUCAUUAACUGAAUCCAUAGGUUAAUGAGGCGAACCGGGGGAACUGAAACAUCUAAGUACCCCGAGGAAAAGAAAUCAACCGAGAUUCCCCCAGUAGCGGCGAGCGAACGGGGAGGAGCCCAGAGCCUGAAUCAGUGUGUGUGUUAGUGGAAGCGUCUGGAAAGGCGCGCGAUACAGGGUGACAGCCCCGUACACAAAAAUGCACAUAUUGUGAGCUCGAUGAGUAGGGCGGGACACGUGGUAUCCUGUCUGAAUAUGGGGGGACCAUCCUCCAAGGCUAAAUACUCCUGACUGACCGAUAGUGAACCAGUACCGUGAGGGAAAGGCGAAAAGAACCCCGGCGAGGGGAGUGAAAAAGAACCUGAAACCGUGUACGUACAAGCAGUGGGAGCCUCUUUAUGGGGUGACUGCGUACCUUUUGUAUAAUGGGUCAGCGACUUAUAUUCUGUAGCAAGGUUAACCGAAUAGGGGAGCCGAAGGGAAACCGAGUCUUAACUGGGCGUUAAGUUGCAGGGUAUAGACCCGAAACCCGGUGAUCUAGCCAUGGGCAGGUUGAAGGUUGGGUAACACUAACUGGAGGACCGAACCGACUAAUGUUGAAAAAUUAGCGGAUGACUUGUGGCUGGGGGUGAAAGGCCAAUCAAACCGGGAGAUAGCUGGUUCUCCCCGAAAGCUAUUUAGGUAGCGCCUCGUGAAUUCAUCUCCGGGGGUAGAGCACUGUUUCGGCAAGGGGGUCAUCCCGACUUACCAACCCGAUGCAAACUGCGAAUACCGGAGAAUGUUAUCACGGGAGACACACGGCGGGUGCUAACGUCCGUCGUGAAGAGGGAAACAACCCAGACCGCCAGCUAAGGUCCCAAAGUCAUGGUUAAGUGGGAAACGAUGUGGGAAGGCCCAGACAGCCAGGAUGUUGGCUUAGAAGCAGCCAUCAUUUAAAGAAAGCGUAAUAGCUCACUGGUCGAGUCGGCCUGCGCGGAAGAUGUAACGGGGCUAAACCAUGCACCGAAGCUGCGGCAGCGACACUAUGUGUUGUUGGGUAGGGGAGCGUUCUGUAAGCCUGUGAAGGUGGCCUGUGAGGGUUGCUGGAGGUAUCAGAAGUGCGAAUGCUGACAUAAGUAACGAUAAAGCGGGUGAAAAGCCCGCUCGCCGGAAGACCAAGGGUUCCUGUCCAACGUUAAUCGGGGCAGGGUGAGUCGACCCCUAAGGCGAGGCCGAAAGGCGUAGUCGAUGGGAAACAGGUUAAUAUUCCUGUACUUGGUGUUACUGCGAAGGGGGGACGGAGAAGGCUAUGUUGGCCGGGCGACGGUUGUCCCGGUUUAAGCGUGUAGGCUGGUUUUCCAGGCAAAUCCGGAAAACCAAGGCUGAGGCGUGAUGACGAGGCACUACGGUGCUGAAGCGACAAAUGCCCUGCUUCCAGGAAAAGCCUCUAAGCAUCAGGUAACAUCAAAUCGUACCCCAAACCGACACAGGUGGUCAGGUAGAGAAUACCAAGGCGCUUGAGAGAACUCGGGUGAAGGAACUAGGCAAAAUGGUGCCGUAACUUCGGGAGAAGGCACGCUGAUAUGUAGGUGAAGCGACUUGCUCGUGGAGCUGAAAUCAGUCGAAGAUACCAGCUGGCUGCAACUGUUUAUUAAAAACACAGCACUGUGCAAACACGAAAGUGGACGUAUACGGUGUGACGCCUGCCCGGUGCCGGAAGGUUAAUUGAUGGGGUUAGCGGUAACGCGAAGCUCUUGAUCGAAGCCCCGGUAAACGGCGGCCGUAACUAUAACGGUCCUAAGGUAGCGAAAUUCCUUGUCGGGUAAGUUCCGACCUGCACGAAUGGCGUAAUGAUGGCCAGGCUGUCUCCACCCGAGACUCAGUGAAAUUGAACUCGCUGUGAAGAUGCAGUGUACCCGCGGCAAGACGGAAAGACCCCGUGAACCUUUACUAUAGCUUGACACUGAACAUUGAGCCUUGAUGUGUAGGAUAGGUGGGAGGCUUUGAAGUGUGGACGCCAGUCUGCAUGGAGCCGACCUUGAAAUACCACCCUUUAAUGUUUGAUGUUCUAACGUUGGCCCGUAAUCCGGGUUGCGGACAGUGUCUGGUGGGUAGUUUGACUGGGGCGGUCUCCUCCUAAAGAGUAACGGAGGAGCACGAAGGUUGGCUAAUCCUGGUCGGACAUCAGGAGGUUAGUGCAAUGGCAUAAGCCAGCUUGACUGCGAGCGUGACGGCGCGAGCAGGUGCGAAAGCAGGUCAUAGUGAUCCGGUGGUUCUGAAUGGAAGGGCCAUCGCUCAACGGAUAAAAGGUACUCCGGGGAUAACAGGCUGAUACCGCCCAAGAGUUCAUAUCGACGGCGGUGUUUGGCACCUCGAUGUCGGCUCAUCACAUCCUGGGGCUGAAGUAGGUCCCAAGGGUAUGGCUGUUCGCCAUUUAAAGUGGUACGCGAGCUGGGUUUAGAACGUCGUGAGACAGUUCGGUCCCUAUCUGCCGUGGGCGCUGGAGAACUGAGGGGGGCUGCUCCUAGUACGAGAGGACCGGAGUGGACGCAUCACUGGUGUUCGGGUUGUCAUGCCAAUGGCACUGCCCGGUAGCUAAAUGCGGAAGAGAUAAGUGCUGAAAGCAUCUAAGCACGAAACUUGCCCCGAGAUGAGUUCUCCCUGACUCCUUGAGAGUCCUGAAGGAACGUU
rnacentral:rRNA from 1 species